rnacentral:rRNA from 1 species
GACAGAGGAUGCAAGCGUUAUCCGGAAUGAUUGGGCGUAAAGCGUCUGUAGGUGGCUUUUUAAGUCCGCCGUCAAAUCCCAGGGCUCAACCCUGGACAGGCGGUGGAAACUACCAAGCUGGAGUACGGUAGGGGCAGAGGGAAUUUCCGGUGGAGCGGUGAAAUGCGUAGAGAUCGGAAAGAACACCAACGGCGAAGGCACUCUACUGGGCCAUUACUGACACUAAGAGACGAAAGCUAGGGGAGCAAAUGGG